rnacentral:lncRNA from 1 species
AUGCCUGGAAUGCCUCUCAGGCUUGCUGGCAUGCCUGGCAUGACCUCCCCUGGCCAUCAGGAGGAGGAGGAUGGACGGUCCCCCACGGGGGGCUUCAGGCCUGGGGCUGCGCUGGGGCUGCCCCCCGGGUCCCCGGCUUGGGGCUCGGUCCCUAGGGGCAGGUGGCCGCCUCUCCGUCCCCCGGGGCCGCCCCCUUUCAGGCCAGCAGCGCUAGAUGCAGGUGACCAGCACGUCCACGCCGGUGCCCAACUCGAUCUCCUCGAAGAGCACGCGGCCCCCGGCGGCCCCAGAGCCCCCGGCCUUGGCGGCAGCCCUCAGCACAGCCUGGGCGUGGCGCAGGAAGUGCUGGUUCCGACGGCGGCCCAGUCGGCGCAGUGCCAGGAUGGCCAGCACGUGGUCCCGCCUGCAGAGACACGCGGGCCCCCGCUGCAGACUCGACAGCUCCAGUGACACCCCGGACCCCAGGGCGAGGGGGACCCCGCGGCUCAGACUGGAAGCGCUAGGGCACCCAGCAUUCCUGGGGGUGCCUGGGUCUUGAAGGGUGCAAAGCUCGUCGGAGAUGGGAAGAGGCAAGCCUGAUGGGAAUGGCCUCUGAGCCCCAGGCAGAGGUUCCAGCGGUUCCGGAAACCUAGUGGACCUAGGGAGGCAGCAGGGCGCCGCGAUGCCCCGAUGCCAGGAGCGGGGCAGGCACGGGAGUCAGAGCCUCUUCCCCUGAGAACCGUGCUGGGGAGCCCCGGCCCCCAGCAAAGCAGCGAGGCCCGCGGGGU